GUCCUACGGGGGGCAGCAGUGGGGAAUAUUGGGCAAUGGGCGCAAGCCUGACCCAGCAACGCCGCGUGGAGGAUGAAGGUUUUAGGAUUGUAAACUCCUUUUGUUAGAGAAGAUUAUGACGGUAUCUAACGAAUAAGCACCGGCUAACUCCGUGCCAGCAGCCGCGGUAAUACGGAGGGUGCAAGCGUUACUCGGAAUCACUGGGCGUAAAGAGUGCGUAGGCGGGGGAAUAAGUCAGAUGUGAAAUCCUGUAGCUUAACUACAGAACUGCAUUUGAAACUGUUACUCUGGAGUGUGGGAGAGUU
rnacentral:rRNA from 1 species